CUUGUACUCCCUCCGUUCGGAAUUACUUGUCUCGGAAAUGGAUGUAUCUAGAACUAAAAUACAUCUGGAUACAUCCAUUUCUGUGACAAGUAAUUCCGAACGGAGGGAGUAUGUC
rnacentral:pre_miRNA from 1 species